rnacentral:rRNA from 1 species
GGUUUUCGGAUCGUAAAACUCUGUUGUUAGGGAAGAACAAGUACCGUUCGAAUAGGGCGGUACCUUGACGGUACCUAACCAGAAAGCCACGGCUAACUACGUGCCAGCAGCCGCGGUAAUACGUAGGUGGCAAGCGUUGUCCGGAAUUAUUGGGCGUAAAGCGCGCGCAGGUGGUUUCUUAAGUCUGAUGUGAAAGCCCACGGCUCAACCGUGGAGGGUCAUUGGAAACUGGGAAACUUGAGUGCAGAAGAGGAAAGUGGAAUUCCACGUGUAGCGGUGAAAUGCGUAGAGAUGUGGAGGAACACCAGUGGCGAAGGCGACUUUCUGGUCUGUAACUGACACUGAGGCGCGAAAGCGUGGGGAGCAAACAGGAUUAGAUACCCUGGUAGUCCACGCCGUAAACGAUGAGUGCUAGGUGUUGGGGGGUUCCACCCUCAGUGCUGAAGUUAACACAUUAAGCACUCCGCCUGGGGAGUACGACCGCAAGGUUGAAACUCAAAGGAAUUGACGGGGGCCCGCACAAGCAGUGGAGCAUGUGGUUUAAUUCGAAGCAACGCGAAGAACCUUACCAGGUCUUGAUAUCCUCUGACCACUCUAGAGAUAGAGCUUUCCCCUUCGGGGGACAGAGUGACAGGUGGUGCAUGGUUGUCGUCAGCUCGUGUCGUGAGAUGUUGGGUUAAGUCCCGCAACGAGCGCAACCCUUGACCUUAGUUGCCAGCA